CAUUACAGGAUUCGCAAGUC
rnacentral:rRNA from 1 species